rnacentral:lncRNA from 1 species
CUUUUUAAAAUUUUAUUUUAGUUUGUGACUUUUUAAAAUUUUGUAUAGGAUUUGAAACAUAAAAUGCAUACAUAUACUUAUAAAUCUAUGUUAAUAAAUACACAAUAUAUAAAGAUGUAAUUUGUGACACCCAUAACUUAAAGUUUGGGGGAAAAGCUAGAAAAUGGAAGUGUUAUGUGUAAUUAAGUUAGUACCAGUUUAAAAUGAUUUUCUGCAAUUUUAGGAUGUUAUAUUUAACCUCCAUGAUAAUAGCAAAGAAAAUAUCUAUAAAACACACACACACACACACACACACACACAUACACACACAAAUGAAACCCAAACAUGUCACUGCAAAAACACUAAACAUAAAAGAUGAUGGAACUGGAAGAAAAGAGUGAUAAAAAAGCUAUAAUAGAUACAGAAAACAUUUUUUAAAGGCAAUAGUAAGUCCUUUCCUAUCAAUAUUUCAAUUGUAAAUGGAUUAAAUUCUCCAAAUAAAGUCAGAGAUUGGCAGAAUGGGAAAAAUCUUGAUCCAACUAUAUGCUGUCUACAAGAGACAUAUUUUAGAUUGAAGGACAAGAAUAGGUUGAAAGAGAAAAGACAGAAAAAGAUAUUCCAUAUAAAUAGCAACAAAAAUGGAAUAGGGAUAGCUAUACUAAUAUCGGACAAAAUAGACUGUAAUCCAAAAACUAUUAAUAAGAUACAAAGGACAUCAUAUGAUUAAAUUGUGAAUUUGCCAAAAGAUAUAACAAUUGUAAACAUAUAUGCAUCAAACAUUAGUGCUCCAACAUAUAUAAACAUUAACUAAACUAAAAGGAGAAAUUGACUGUUCUGCAAUAACAUCCAAACAAACAAACAAACAGAAUAUACAUUUUUCUCAAUUGCAUAAGGAACAUUCUUUAGGACAAACCAUAUGUGAGGCUGCAAAACAUGCCCUAAAACUUUUUUUUUUAAGACUGAAAAUAUGGAAAGUAUCUUUUCUGAUCAAAAUGGAGUGCAACUAGGAGUUGACAUUAGAAAUACUGGAAAUCUACAAAAAUGUUGAAAUUAAAUAGUAC